AAGUCGUAACAAGGUAACCGUAGGUGAACCUGCGGUUGGAUCAUUACCAAAUAUCCAAUGGGAAGGAGCGCAGGGGUCCCUAGCGUAGUCUAACGAUUCCACUAGGCCCAUGCCUCUUUUUCCAUUUCCCCACCUCUUGUGCAAUGUAAUGUAUUUGGCGGGCCAUGCUCGGCGAAGCUAGUAGGACUUGUGCCUAUUUGUUUCGUUUGAGAUUGCUUGUGAGAGUGCGCCUUUACGGACACCCUCAACCGUCAUGUUAACACACCUAAUAUUAUUUACCACAACAAUCUGACGUUUAUAUGCUAGGAUGCGCGUUUGCGUGACCUGGAACAUAACCGAAAACAACUUUUGACAACGGAUCUCUUGGCUCUC
rnacentral:misc_RNA from 1 species